UUAUGCAUGUUUGAAGUUCCAAGUUCACUUGGCCAUGAUUGAUCCAUAUCUUUUCAACCAUACAUGAGAAAUUCAUGAUCUUGGACUUUUUGGAAAUGGGAGAGCAAGAUCUACAACUUUCAUGUUGGACAAAAAUCUAUUUGAAGCUUUCUUGAUGAUGUAAUCUUGAGGAGAAAACCUUUCCAUUUUUGGCAAUUUCAAAUUACAGGUCCCUUACUAUUUUUGGAAAGUUUUGAUCUGGCUUCAAAUUCUUCAUUGUG
rnacentral:lncRNA from 1 species